rnacentral:rRNA from 1 species
CCUACGGGCGGCAGCAGUGGGGAAUAUUGGACAAUGGGGGAAACCCUGAUCCAGCGACGCCGCGUGAGUGAAGAAGUAUUUCGGUAUGUAAAGCUCUGUCAGCAGGGAAGAAAAAAAUGACGAUACCUGACCAAGAAGCCCCGGCUAACUACGUGCCAUCAGCCGCGUUAAUACGUAGGGGGCAAGCGUUAUCCGGCAUUACUGGGUGUAAAGGGAGCGUAGACGGUGAGGCAAGUCUGGAGGGAAAGGCGGGGGCCCAACCCCCGGACUGCUCAGGAAACUGCGUAACUUGAGUGCAGGAGAGGUAAGCGGAAUUCCUAGUGUAGCGGUGAAAUGCGUAGAUAUUAGGAGGAACACCAGUGGCGAAGGCGGCUUACUGGACUGUAACUGACGCUGAGGCUCGAAAGCGUGGGGAGCAAACAGGAUUAGAUACCCCAGUAGUC